rnacentral:rRNA from 1 species
AUACGGAGGAUGCAAGCGUUAUCCGGAUUUAUUGGGUUUAAAGGGUGCGUAGGCGGAUGAUUAAGCGUGAGGUGAAAUGCCACUGCUCAACAGUGGAACUGCCUCGCGAACUGGGUGUCUUGAAUGCUCCUGCCGUGGGAGGAAUGUGUGGUGUAGCGGUGAAAUGCAUAGAGAUCACACAGAACACCGAUUGCGAAGGCAUCUCACGAAGGGGUGAUUGACGCUGAGGCACGAAAGCGUGGGGAUCAAACAGGAUUAGAUACCCUGGUAGUCCACGCAGUAAACGAUGAUAACUAACCGCUGGGUCGUAGUGAUUCAGUGGCCAAGCGAAAGCGAUAAGUUAUCCACCUGGGGAGUACGACCGCAAGGUUGAAACUCAAAUGAAUUGGCGGGG